rnacentral:rRNA from 1 species
CCUACGGGUGACAGCAGUGAGGAAUAUUGGUCAAUGGACGAGAGUCUGAACCAGCCAAGUAGCGUGAAGGAUGACUGCCCUAUGGGUUGUAAACUUCUUUUAUAUGGGAAUAAAAUGUUCCACGUGUGGGAUUUUGUAUGUACCAUAUGAAUAAGGAUCGGCUAACUCCGUGCCAGCAGCCGCGGUAAUACGGAGGAUCCGAGCGUUAUCCGGAUUUAUUGGGUUUAAAGGGAGCGUAGGUGGAUUGUUAAGUCAGUUGUGAAAGUUUGCGGCUCAACCGUAAAAUUGCAGUUGAAACUGGCAGUCUUGAGGACAGUAGAGGUGGGCGGAAUUCGGGGUGUAGCGGUGAAAUGCUUAGAUAUCACGAAGAACUCCGAUUGCGAAGGCAGUUCACUGACUGCAACUGACACUGAGGCUCGAAAGUGUGGGUAUCAAACAGGAUUAGAUACCCGAGUAGUC